rnacentral:rRNA from 1 species
AGGACGAACGCUGGCGGCGUGCUUAACACAUGCAAGUCGCACGGGACCCGCAAGGGUUCAGUGGCGGACGGGUGCGUAACACGUGAGGAACAUGCCCAUCGGUGGGGGAUAGCCGGCCCAACGGCCGGGUAAUACCGCGUACGACCCUUGGGGCGCAUGCCCUGGGGGUGAAAGCAGCAGUGCGCCGAUGGAGUGCCUCGCGGCCUAUCAGCUUGUUGGUGAGGUAACGGCUCACCAAGGCGACGACGGGUAGCUGGUCUGAGAGGAUGGCCAGCCACAUUGGGACUGAGACACGGCCCAGACUCCUACGGGAGGCAGCAGUGGGGAAUAUUGCGCAAUGGCCGAAAGGCUGACGCAGCGACGCCGCGUGUGGGAUGACGGUCUUCGGAUUGUAAACCACUGUCGGGAGGGACGAAUGCGCCGCAAGGCGAGCGACGGUACCUCCAAAGGAAGCACCGGCUAACUCCGUGCCAGCAGCCGCGGUAAUACGGAGGGUGCGAGCGUUGUCCGGAAUCACUGGGCGUAAAGGGCGCGUAGGCGGCCGGAUAAGUAGGAGGUGAAAUCGUGCGGCUCAACUGCACGGCUGCCUUCUAGACUGUUCGGCUAGAGCACGGUAGAGGCAGAUGGAAUUCCCGGUGUAGCGGUGGAAUGCGUAGAGAUCGGGAAGAACAUCGGUGGCGAAGGCGGUCUGCUGGGCCGUUGCUGACGCUGAGGCGCGACAGCGUGGGGAGCAAACAGGAUUAGAUACCCUGGUAGUCCACGCCGUAAACGAUGGGUACUAGGCGUCGGGGGGAGCGACCCUCUCGGUGCCGUCGCUAACGCAGUAAGUACCCCGCCUGGGGAGUACGGCCGCAAGGCUGAA